rnacentral:misc_RNA from 1 species
GCACUUUAAGUACCUCGCUCAUUUGUGGGCGCAACUUCACAGGUUUAUAUAUACAAGCCGCAGCACAAUAAAUCAUUCGAAUCAUUUCAUCUUUAUCAUAUUUUUUCUUUAAUUUUCAAAAAGAUCUUUACAAUUCUUUGCAUCCAAAUCUUGUUUGUCUGUAUCCAAAAUUUGUUUGAGUCGUGGCACUGCCCAAAUAGCUAAGCGAAUGUAUUCAUUGCGUUUCUUUUUAAUAAC